UACAGAGGUCUCAAGCGUUGUUCGGAUUCAUUGGGCGUAAAGGGUGCGUAGGCGGCGCGGUAAGUCGGGUGUGAAAUCUCGGAGCUUAACUCCGAAACUGCAUUCGAUACUGCCGUGCUUGAGGACGGGAGAGGAGACUGGAAUUUACGGUGUAGCGGUGAAAUGCGUAGAUAUCGUAAGGAAGACCAGUGGCGAAGGCGGGUCUCUGGAACGGUACUGACGCUGAGACGCGAAAGCGUGGGGAGCGAACAGG
rnacentral:rRNA from 1 species